UCUAGAAGAUCCUACGGGGGGCAGCAGUGGGGAAUAUUGGACAAUGGGCGCAAGCCUGAUGGAGCGACGCCGCGUGGGGGAUGAAUGGCUUCGGCCCGUAAACCCCUGUCAUUCGCGAUCAACCCUUAUUAUUUAAAAGAUGAUGAGCUGAUAGUAGCGGAAGAGGAAGGGACGGCUAACUCUGUGCCAGCAGCCGCGGUAAUACAGAGGUCCCAAGCGUUGUUCGGAUUCACUGGGCGUAAAGGGUGCGUAGGUGGUGAGGUAAGUCGGAUGUGAAAUCUCGGAGCUCAACUCCGAAAUGGCAUUGGAAACUACCUUGCUCGAGGAAUGGAGGGGGGACUGGAAUUCUCGGUGUAGCAGUGAAAUGCGUAGAUAUCGAGAGGAACACCAGUGGCGAAGGCGAGUCCCUGGACAUCUCCUGACACUGAGGCACGAAAGCUAGGGGAGCAAACAGGAUUAGAUACCCGAGUAGUC
rnacentral:rRNA from 1 species